AGCUCAACGAGGCUACCUCUACACCAAACAAACCCAUACAUCAGAGGCCAUCCCUUUGAAUUCAACAGCUUUUCUGGUGCUAAGAGAGGAUAUUGAAAACCUGGUCUUAAAUCACACUUUUCAGGUAAUAAGCAGCAAUGAAUGGAAGAGAAAAGGAAGCCAGGAGGCUUAUAGGAUUUAAGGAGCUUCUUUUGAAAGAAGAAUCCACCCUGCUGCUGAUGGCCAGAUGCUCAUGUAUGUCUGGAGAUGUGCAAAUAAACACAGGGUGUAAAGCUGUUAGCAGUGGUUCACGGCAACAGACUAGCUCCUGUCAAGGAAAAGCAGGUUAGGUAAACUUUUCAGGUGUUUGGAGGUGAAUCUUUUCAUUUGUGCACAGCCCUUGGUUGACCCAACUAUUUCACAUCAUUACCAAUUGCUUUGUUCGUAUGUAUCAAACUUCCUUCUUGUGCUUUAUUGGGUUUUGCUCUCACUGACCUCUUCCAGCAGUUUACUUUCUAACAUCCUGGAAGCUUCAUCAUGACUGCUCAGUGCACCUCACCUAGAGCUGAGAUUAAAAGUUGAAAAAGAGAAAGAGUGAACACAACACGAGAGAAAACAGAAGCAAUUUUGGUGGCAACCUGGUGACACUCUGGAAUGUCUUUGGGAUAACAGAGCAGCAAGCAACUUGUGAUCCGCAAAGGCAAAUGGCAGCACAAGCAACAGGAUUGAAGUUCUGCAGUAGUGAUGCAGGUUGAAUUCUCUCUUGAGAAAGUCAGUCUGUCUGUACGGAAGGAGCAGGACAAGCACUCAGACGUGAGUCCCAGCUUUGCAGCAGCAGAAUGCCAACAACAUCACCUGGACAUCCAUCAGAUACCACUCUUUCUUCAAGCAGAGUUUCCCACCUGUCUCAAACCAGUGGUUUUGGACAACCCUGCAACUACCUGCAAAUUAUGUUGGUGUUCUGCUUCUUCAAGUGUGUCUUCAUCAGCCUGAUGUCAGCUUCUUUCUUGUGGAGAUGAAGAAUGUCACCAUGAAUGUCCAUAGGCAAACUGGAUAAGAAAGAGUGUCACAGUGCAGGACAACCUAGAAGAUGACAG
rnacentral:lncRNA from 1 species